GCCAGCUAAUCAUGAGGAAACCCACAGGAUCCAGAGGGACCCUGUGGGCAAUUCGCAAGUAAAGAGUGCUAGGAGCCCUGGGAGAGAGCAGUCUGCUCACAGCCUCAAGCGAAGCCUAUUUAAAGGACACCGGGUUCACCCAAUCCACUUUCUAGAACACUUUUGGAUGGAGAAAAUUUAAAGUGUAAAGAGACCUUCAAAGCAGGAGAGUGCCCAAAGCCACCCAGUGAAUGAAGGUGAAGAUUCCAGCCUGGCUUAAUUCACUUUUUCUCAUCACACUUCAACUAAAUUCUCUUCCCAAACAAAUUAAUAAAAGACGCAUAAUAUAAUACAAUAUAUAACACAUAAUGCAAUUUUCAGUAGGGAACAAAGACAGCUGUUGAUCUUGUUUUCAAACCCAUUUCCCUCCCAGGCUGACUUCCUGCUACACAUAGGCUAUAUUCCCACCACGUGCCAAACCAGAAAUCCAUUCCCAAGAAUAAGCAUCAGUUAAACUGACAGCAUAACUGCACAGAGUACUUGUACUAACAGCAUGCAAGCUCGCUGUCUUUAAAGGAAACGGGCACAUUUCUUCUGGCCUUCCUCU